rnacentral:lncRNA from 7 species
GUCUCUAGCAGACUGAGAACCAGAACCACCUUUGCACGCUGUAUAUGAGAAGAUCUGCAUCAGCCUGUGAAUACUGUGAUUUGGGAAGAGACCAGGAAAGUAAAGAGUCAAGAUGAAUCCUCUUUUCCGAAGCUCACCUGAAAUUAAAUCACUUCCUGCAAUGGAGAAGUUCAGCUCCGGAAGGCCUUUAAAGGAUGGGAUGUAACAUGGAGCCGAGCAGUUGGCAAACACUGAUUUUAAGUGCAUUUGUACUUUGCUGACUGAUCCCGGAAUGGUCAAAGGAAGCAGCAUAAGACAAUGACUGACCUUCAAAUACAGGGUGGGAAUAUGCAGGCUGACUCUCAACAAGAAAACCCACCUAAAAGGGUAUAAUCAGACUUCCCCACAGGAGAUCUUUUCCUACAUUGCUGUUUAAUCCCUCCUACCAUACAGCCGUGUGCUCUUUUAAAACAGAUCGAUUGCGCAUUAGAAACAAACCAAAACGGACCAAAUAAACAACGAAAAAUACAAGAGGAUAUUAUGGUUUUGUCUGUAACAUGAAAUCAGCUGGAGUGGAAGAGGGGAUCGGAAGCACUCAGCUGGCCUACAAAAUCCUUAAGCUCUCUGGUUGCAGGCAAUAGAUGCAGUACAGCUAUGGGUGAACUCUGCAUGCUGAGUGUCCUACCAUGUGCAGCUGGCCCUGCCGGAACCUUCUCAUUGCAUUGACGUUGCUUGGAUCAUAACAGCACAUCAAGGGCAUGAGGACCGAAGGCUGCAUGUGAGCAGAGAGGGAUGUGAUCCCCUCCCCCAGGGUUUUGCUAUCAAAUCCAACAGGGCAGGUGAUGGUGGGAAGGUGGAUAUAGCUGAGGUCUGGACAGAGAGAAUCAUAGAUUGGAGUGGAAUGGCAUGGCAUGGCAUGGGCAGGUGAAUCAUUCCCAUGAAAGAGUUUUGCAGAAGAGUUGAGAAACGAACCCCAAUUUACCCCAAUUUACUUCAGAUUUACCCCAAACCACAAGGCCACAAUCAUCCAGGAGACGUCAUUUCCUCCAAGGUCAGGAGUGACCAACCCUUUCAAACACUUAGAACACCGGACCCUAACCCGUAGCCCCUCUAGGUCCCUUAGAGUUUAAUUUUCACCCCGACUUCCAAGUGAGGAGGAGGACUGUGGCAGGAGGAGCUUGUGGGCUGGGCCUCUCUCAAAUCUCUUUUAUCAAUUGCAUUCACCUCUGACAUAAAAAUGAUAAGGCAGUGAACAAUUAAAAAUUAAAUCUCAGGCUUGUCACUGCAGGAUCAGACAGAAACACUGCCUAACUUUACUCACUGUGGUUUAUAGCUUUUUUUUCUUGUUGUCUCCCUGCAAGCAGGUCCCUGGGCUAUUUGAUUUAUACUUUGCCAUCUGAAAUGCAUAAAAGAUGAGGCACUUUCGCUCCCCCAUGAAUCUUCCGCAUUUUUGUUCAAAAUUUUACUGAAGGUGACAUGACAAAUUACUGCCAGAGUCAAUUUGUGCUGGAGGAGGGCAUC